rnacentral:rRNA from 1 species
AUUGAACGCUGGCGGAAUGCUUUACACAUGCAAGUCGAGCGGCAGCGCGGGGCAACCUGGCGGCGAGCGGCGAACGGGUGAGUAAUACAUCGGAACAUGUCCAUGUCGUGGGGGAUAGCCCGGCGAAAGCCGGAUUAAUACCGCAUAAGCCCGAGAGGGGAAAGCCGGGGACCGCAAGGCCUGGCGCGAUUGGGUUGGCCGAUGUCCGAUUAGCUAGUUGGCGGGGUAAGAGCCCACCAAGGCGAUGAUCGGUAGCUGGUCUGAGAGGAUGAUCAGCCACACUGGGACUGAGACACGGCCCAGACUCCUACGGGAGGCAGCAGU